AAAAAGCAAACUCUAGAUUUUCGUGUCCAACUUUAACUGUCCGUCUUAUAUAAAAUUUUUUUAUAAUUUAUAUUUUCAUUGUUGUUAGAUAAUAAAACAUGAUUAAUAUUUUAUGCGUGAUUUGUCUUUUUAAUUUUUUUCAUAAUUUUUUAAAUAAGACGGACGGUCAAACGUUGAACACGGAAACC
rnacentral:pre_miRNA from 1 species